rnacentral:rRNA from 1 species
GACGGAGGGGGCUAGCGUUGUUCGGAAUGACUGGGUGUAAAGGGCGCGUAGGCGGUAUUUUAAGUGAGGCGUGAAAGCCCUGGGCUUAACCCAGGAGGUGCGUUUCAUACUGGAAUGCUAGAGUGCGAGAGAGGAAAGUGGAAUUCCUAGUGUAGAGGUGAAAUUCGUAGAUAUUAGGAAGAACACCAGAGGCGAAGGCGGCUUUCUGGCUCGCAACUGACGCUGAGGCGCGAAAGCGUGGGGAGCAAACAGG